AAUGGGUAUGGGGGCCGGCUGAGGCCCGGCUAGGACCGGCGCCGGUCCCCCACACCAUCCCCCUCAUGUCUGGCCCGGCUCAAGCGGCUCCCAACAGCCGGGUUAGCCUAGCCUCUCUCCUAUCUCCUAACACACAUACAUCUAUACAUACAUAUAUAUAUAUAAAGGGGUUAAUCCCCACCCCCUAGGCCCAUCCCCUUCAAACCGAGCCUACGUGACGGCUCAUCCUCUCCAAGUCCAUCCUCUCCAUACCCUUUAGUCUUACCCUAUUUACCAUCGGUUCCUUAUAUUAUAUUAUAUUAUAAAAAAGAAUGACUUGUUUCCAUCAAGAUUGAUGUACAAAAAAAAAUUAGUACAAACCCAGCGACUACCAAGUACCAACAGACUUGACUCUUUUUCUCUCUUUUUCUUGUUAUUCUUGUUCAACGGACACCCAUCAAGAUUGAUGUACAAAACCCACUCUUUUUCUCUCUUUUUCUUGUUAUUCUUGUUCAAACAAUUCUUGAUUUUGGCUUCUGCUUGCUUUGUGGGUGGGGUUUGCUGAAUCAUGUUCAAAGUUGUGGGGUUUAGAGGGUUUAAACCCAUAAUCUUUAUGGAGUUGUUAGUUUCUGUUCUUGUUUCUGCUGAUGAAGAACCAAAAGGCGGUAAGCAACAGCAAGAACAAACAACAAAACCAACAGAACAACAACAAACAGAGGUGAAGCAAGCAAACCUGGUACACCACUCCGCCGGAUAUAUCAAAACUGAUAGUCGGCGAGAGUGAUUUCGGGCAAACGCUUAGCAUUUUUGAAGCGCUGAUAGAUGCUAAAAUAAAUGCGUUAAUAAAAGAUGGCAAAAAAGUUUCAAAAGAAAUUGCAAAACAAAUCAUCGCAACCUCGUUUGGCACACGUGGUAAGUAUUGUGAAAUCGUUGUUUUGUGUUUAUCAUCGAUAUUGAUUUUGUUGAGAUUUUGUUCAACAGAAAUGGCAUUUC